UACGUAGGUGGCAAGCGUUGUCCGGAAUUAUUGGGCGUAAAGCGCGCGCAGGUGGUUUCUUAAGUCUGAUGUGAAAGCCCACGGCUCAACCGUGGAGGGUCAUUGGAAACUGGGGAACUUGAGUGCAGAAGAGGAAAGUGGAAUUCCAAGUGUAGCGGUGAAAUGCGUAGAGAUUUGGAGGAGCACCAGUGGCGAAGGCGACUUUCUGGUCUGUAACUGACACUGAGGCGCGAAAGCGUGGGGAGCGAACAGG
rnacentral:rRNA from 1 species